rnacentral:ncRNA from 1 species
GAAGAUACGAUGAAAAAAGAAAAGUAUCAGUAUUAUCUUUUUAAGAGAGGUUGUGGGUGGUGAAAACAACUAUGGAAAUUCUGAGAAAGGAGCUUUUGAGUAUCAAUAAAUUAAGAAAGUAGGGCCUAAGCCAAAAAGGGUGGAACCGCGGAGAAGUUUCUUCGUCCCUUUA